rnacentral:rRNA from 1 species
UACGUAGGGGGCGAGCGUUGUCCGGAUUUAUUGGGCGUAAAAGGCUUGUAGGUGGCCACGUCAAGUCGGAUGUGAAAUCUCCCGGCUCAACUGGGAGGGGUCAUUCGAUACUGGCGGGCUCGAGGCCGGUAGGGGGAAGCGGAAUUCCCGGUGUAGUGGUGGAAUGCGUAGAUAUCGGGAGGAACACCAGUGGCGAAGGCGGGUUGCUGGGCCGACACUGACGCUGAGGCGCGAAAGCCAGGGGAGCGAACGGG